rnacentral:rRNA from 1 species
CCUACGGGAGGCAGCAGUAGGGAUUAUUCGGCAAUGGGCGCAAGCCUGACCGAGCAACGCCGCGUGAGUGAUGAAGGUUUUCGGAUUGUGAAGCUCUGUUGUAAGGGAAGAAUGGCGCGGAUAGACUCCGCGAUGAC